rnacentral:rRNA from 1 species
GAUGAACGCUGGCGGCGUGCUUAACACAUGCAAGUCGAACGGAUUUAUUUUAUGGAAGCCUUCGGGUGGAAGUAAAAUAAGUUAGUGGCGGACGGGUGAGUAACGCGUGGGUAACCUGCCUUGUACAGGGGGAUAACAACCGGAAACGGUUGCUAAUACCGCAUAAGCGCACAGUGUCGCAUGACACCGUGUGAAAAGAUUUAUCGGUACAAGAUGGACCCGCGUCUGAUUAGCUAGUUGGUGAGGUAAUGGCUCACCAAGGCAACGAUCAGUAGCCGGCUUGAGAGAGUGAACGGCCACAUUGGGACUGAGACACGGCCCAAACUCCUACGGGAGGCAGCAGUGGGGAAUAUUGCACAAUGGGGGAAACCCUGAUGCAGCGACGCCGCGUGAGUGAAGAAGUAUUUCGGUAUGUAAAGCUCUAUCAGCAGGGACGAAUAAAUGACGGUACCUGACUAAGAAGCCCCGGCUAACUACGUGCCAGCAGCCGCAGUAACAC